CUUGACAAAAGAAAAAACCUUAUACUCGCCACCCUUCAUCUUAUCUCACGUCUCACUCUCAAACUUCGUUCUCCCUCAUUCCCACUGUCUGCGCUCUCUCUCCAACCUCCUCUCCCUCACAUCGUAGCUCUCCUCCACGCACGGUCUGACGGUUCCACUCCCUUUGCAGGACACGGGGACCAUCUCUCCUCUGCUCACGGUGUUGGACUACACUAAAAUGGAUAAUCUAUUCUCUCGGCUAGGGGAGAUGAGGUCUUACCUAAAAGUACCCUCAGAAAUUCUACAAGGAGUGGGAGUCACUUUGGGGAUUUUUUUAAUUUAAUUAUUUUUGUUUGUAUUUAAUGUGUAUUAUUGAAUCUCUAAGUUGGAAUGUUGAAUCUUUAAUAUUAUUGGAUUCUUAUUUGAGCAUUUUAUUUA